CUCGAACACAGAAGUUAAGCACUUUAACGGCGACGAUAGCUUGGCCUGCCCAAGUGAAAAUAGCAAAUCGCCAGUU
rnacentral:rRNA from 1 species